CCUGGGAGCUCUUGCUGCUAGGAGGUCUGGAACAACGUUUGGACUGGAGAUCAGGAAAGAUGCUGUCAGGAAUGCUUAGAGUGCUAGGUGUAUUCAUUUGCUGGUGAGUGCCCUGAAGCUGUAGCCCACAGUGUUCAAAGGAGGCUCCCUUUCUGGAGGACCGGCAGCUGUGAAGUGGGAGACAUCUCUGUGAAGGGCAAAUCUCAGAGCCCUCUGGGUCUUUUGUCUGGAAACUGUUUCAUCCAUAAGGAGACUUGUAUUGCGGUGUGCCAGAGUGGGGAGCCAGACACCAGUCAUAGGGGGUUCCUGGCUGAACAGUACAAGGAAACCAAACUCUCAGUGGAAAAGUACUCUUUGCUCUGGAAAGCCCGUUUUUUUGUUUUGUUUAUUUAGCUAUAUAUUGUGUUACAUUCUUCAGAAAUGCAAGAAAUGCAAUAUCCAUGGA